GACCUUGUGGUGCAAUGGUAAUGUGUCUGACUUCAGAUCAGAUGGUUGUGUGUUCAAAUCACAUUGGGAUUG
rnacentral:tRNA from 1 species